CAGUAGCCGCGGGAAUACGUAGGUCCCGGGCGUUGUCCGGAUUUAUUGGGCGUAAAGCGAGCGCAGGCGGUUUGAUAAGUCUGAAGUUAAAGGCUGUGGCUCAACCAUAGUUCGCUUUGGAAACUGUCAAACUUGAGUGCAGAAGGGGAGAGUGGAAUUCCAUGUGUAGCGGUGAAAUGCGCAGAGAUGCGGAGGAACACCGAUGGCGAAGGCGACUCUCUGGUCUGUAACUGACGCUGAGGAGCGAAAGCGUGGGGAGCGAACAGGAUUAGAUACCCCUGUAGUCCCUGUCUCUUAUACC
rnacentral:rRNA from 1 species